UACGUAGGGUGCGAGCGUUGUCCGGAAUUAUUGGGCGUAAAGGGCGCGUAGGCGGUGCGGUAAGUCUGUAGUGAAAUCUCUGGGCUCAACUCAGAGUCUGCUGCAGAAACUGCCGUGCUUGAGUGUGGGAGAGGUGAGUGGAAUUCCCGGUGUAGCGGUGAAAUGCGCAGAUAUCAGGAGGAACACCGAUGGCGAAGGCAGGUCUCUGGGCAUUAACUGACGUGAGGAGCGAAAGCAUGGGGGAGCGAACAGG
rnacentral:rRNA from 1 species